rnacentral:rRNA from 1 species
AUACGUAGGGGGCGAGCGUUGUCCGGAAUGAUUGGGCGUAAAGGGCGCGUAGGCGGCCCGGUAAGUCUGGAGUGAAAGUCCUGUUUUUAAGAUGGGAAUUGCUUUGGAUGCUGUCGGGCUUGAGUGCAGGAGAGGUAAGUGGAAUUCCCAGUGUAGCGGUGAAAUGCGUAGAGAUUGGGAGGAACACCAGUGGCGAAGGCGACUUACUGGACUGUAACUGACGCUGAGGCGCGAAAGUGUGGGGAGCAAACAGGAUUAGAUACCCUGGUAGUCCACACGGUAAACGAUGAAUGCUAGGUGUAGGGGGUAUCGACCCCUUCUGUGCCGCAGUCAACACAAUAAGCAUUCCGCCUGGGGAGUACGGCCGCAAGGUUGAAACUCAAAUGAAUUGACGGGG